rnacentral:rRNA from 1 species
CCUACGGGUGGCAGCAGUGGGGGCUAUUGCACAAUGGGGGGAACCCUGAUGCAGCGACGCCGCGUGGGUGAAGGAGUGCUUCGGCAUGUAAAGCCCUAUCGGCAGGGAAGAAGCAAGACGGUACCUGACUAAGAAGCCCCGGCUAACUACGUGCCAGCAGCCGCGGUAAUACGUAGGGGGCGAGCGUUAUCCGGAUUCACUGGGUGUAAAGGGAGCGUAGACGGCCAUUCAAGCCAGUGGUGAAAGCCCGGUGCCCAACCCCGGGACUGCCCUUGGAACUGGGCGGCUAGAGUGCGGGAGGGGCAGGCGGAAUUCCUGGUGUAGCGGUGAAAUGCGUAGAUAUCAGGAGGAACACCGGCGGCGAAGGCGGCCUGCUGGACCGCGACUGACGUUGAGGCUCGAAAGCGUGGGGAGCGAACAGGAUUAGAUACCCGAGUAGUC